rnacentral:miRNA from 1 species
CCUCGAGCGAGAAGCACUUUCU